rfam:Bombyx mori DNA, contig: Bm_scaf38_contig22286, strain: p50T/Dazao, build 2, whole genome shotgun sequence.
UUAACUCAGAUUUGUAUGGAGUUGGAAUAGCCUCCCGUCGUUUUUCGCUAGGGGCGCUGUUCAAACUCCAUACAAAUCUGAGUUA